rnacentral:rRNA from 1 species
UUGGAGAGCAAGUCUGGUGCCAGCAGCCGCGGUAAUUCCAGCUCCAAUAGCGUAUAUUAAAGUUGUUGCAGUUAAAAAGCUCGUAGUUGAAUUUCGGGAUCAAUUUGUUGGUCGUGCCUCGGUACGUACUGGCAUUAUUGGUUUCUACCUUCUGAAGAACCUUGAUGUCAUUAAUUUGGUGUCUUGGGGAAUCAGGACUGUUACUUCGAAAAAAUUAGAGUGUUUAAAGCAGGCAUACGCUUGAAUACAUUAGCAUGGAAUAAUGAAAUAGGACGUUUGAUUCUAUUUUGUUGGUUUCUAGGAUCGACGUAAUGAUUAAUAGGGAUAGUUGGGGGCAUUAGUAUUCAAUUGUCAGAGGUGAAAUUCUUGGAUUUAUUGAAGACUAACUACUGCGAAAGCAUUUGCCAAGGAUGUUUUCGUUAAUCAAGAACGAAAGUUAGGGGAUCGAAGACGAUCAGAUACCGUCGUAGUCUUAACCAUAAACUAUGCCGACUAGGGAUCGGAUGAUGUUAAUUUUUUAAUGACUCAUUCGCGCCUUACGGGAAAC